rnacentral:lncRNA from 1 species
GGCGGGGCCGAGGGGCGGCGGGGGCGUGGCUGCAGGGCGCGGCCGGGCAGGCGGCAGGGACGUGGUGGAGGGGCGCGGCGCGGCGGGUGCAGGAGGGCGGGUCCGCGCCCCGCCGUCCGGCUCCGCGGCUCCGCGGCUCUGCAGCGCGGGUUGGCGUUCAUAAAGAAAUCGAGUCCGGGGCCGCCUGGGCGGCCCAGGGCGUGCCCCCGGGGUCCCGGGAUGGAGUCCCGCGUCGGGCUCCCCGCAGGGAGCUGCUCCUCCCUCUGCCUGGGCCUCCGCCUCUUUCCGUGUCUCCCAUUAACUAAUUAAAAGAAAGAAGGCAGGCUUUUCGUUCUGAAAUGAUGCGUUUACCCCCGACCCGGGCACGGCCGUCGUGUCUGCGCACGUGGGGGCGGCGAGCGAGCUGUGCUGAGCCUCCUGUGCUGGCGGGACCCGAGGGCCGGACGGGAGGCCCCGCCCGUGUGUCCCCGUCGCCCCGAGCGGCCCACAGGGGGCGGGAGAGGCCCGGGCCCAGCUGCAGCGAAGGCCGCCCCAAGGUCCUGGGGUGACCGGGUCGGAGCGGGAGGCCCGGCCCUGCAGCCCCGCAGCCCUGCAGCCCCGCAGCCCCGCAGCCCUGCGCCCCGCCUGGGCCGGUGCCCAACGGCCCCCCAGGAACGGGGCGCCACGGGAGGGGGAACCCCCGCAACCAGGGGAGGCUCCAGGGCGGCACGGGGACCUCGGGGACGGGGAUCCCCGGGUCCGGACGAGGCCCCGCCCUGCCCCCCGGGCCCUGCUGGUCACCUUGCUGCUGAGAUCACCGGAACACAGUUUCUGGACUGGUUCCCAUCCGACUCCGGCCUGCUGUGAGCUCCCUGAACUACAGCUGAAGAAAUAGAAGAUUGAUACCUGAAUGCAUUAAAGAGAAGGUGAAUGGGAUUCUAGUAAUGAUAAUGUCACAGAGGACUGGUCUUUCUUUCUGGGUGUUGGCUUUAAUAUUUUUAAACAUUUUAUGUAUUAAUUUUUUUAAAAAGAUUUUACAUAUUUACCGCAGACAGACACACAGAGGGAGAGAGAGAGAGGCAGAGACACAGGCAGAGGGAGAAGCAGGCUCCACGCAGGGAGCCCGAAGUGGGACUCGAUCCCGGGUCUCCAAGAUCAUGCCCUGGGCUGAAGGCAGACACCUAACCCACUGAGCCACCCAGGGAUCCCCCUUAUUAAUUUUAGAGAGGCGGGGAGCAGAGGCAGAGGGAGAGGCAGGGUCCCCGCUGAGCAGGGAGCCUGACCUGGGGCUCAGUGGCUGGACCCUGGGAUCACGACCUGAGAGGCUAGGCAGAUGGUAACCAACUGAGCCUCCCAGGUGCCCCUUGGCCUUAAUUUUGACCCAAAUUCUUCACAUUCUCUGUCAAACUGAGAAAGAUCUAGCAGGUUUUUCCUGCCACGUGCAUUUUCCUUCUCUUCCUCCUUGCCUUGCUGGUCGCUGCUUUAUAUACUUUCCUCAGAGAGAAGUGUUUCCCUAUGCUCAUUCCAUCCUCAGAAAAAAACACUUCAUGACUGACUUCAUCCCUGUUCACUUCUCAAUGAGAAAAAUAUUGCUAGGUUUCUUGGAAAUAAAUACAACAUUACUUAUUGAUCCAGUUUUCCUGGUAUAUAAGCUAUUGGCUAUAAAUUAGUUGGCCUGCUUUUAGCAGUUGCAUUAAUUCUUUUGGGCCAGUUGAGUACCAUUUAGUGCACAAACAGCAAGAAAAGUUAAAUUUACAGCAUUGCACACUGCAACCAUUAAUCUAGAUCAACACAUUCUAGGGAUCGCUUCCUCCUUUCCUCCUCUUUAUAUAGUUUUCAUCUGGACUAUGAAUAGGACUUCUUUUCCUGGGCAAAGAAGUAUUAUCUUCAAAGUUUUCAGAUUCUUUUUUUUUAAUUCUUUUUUUUUUUUUUUUAAGAUUUUAUUUAUCCAUGAGAGACACACAGACAGAGGGAGAAAGCAGGCUCUCUGAGGGGAGCCCGAUGUGGAACUCAAUCCCAGGACCCUGGGGUCACGCCUUGGGUUGAAGGCAACCACUCUAUCACUGAACCCCACAGGCGUCCAGUUUUCAAAUCCUUGAUUAAUAAUUGUAAAAAUCUUAUAACCUUCAGUGAAAUUCCUGAUGUGCACAUUCUUUUUGUUUUUCUUCCACAACUCUUGGUUCACAUGAGCUUAGCUUAAUUCUAUUACAUAGCAAAUGCUCUGUGAGAGUAAACUUUAUGUAGGCGGUAAUAAUGAAUUUGAAAUUAUCAAACAUCUGAUUUUAUCUCCAAUUGUUUUCUAUGGGACCUCUCAUUUGUCAUAAUCAAUAUUUUUUUCUGGCUUCAUGGUGACCUGCUAUAAUACUGAAUAAUAAAUGCAAUUUUCCUGGCAAAGUUCAUCUAAAUAGUACUACUUGAACUUAAAAUUAUUAAAUAAACUCACUUCUCUUUACGUUUCCUCUGAUGGUUAAUUUUAUGUGUUAAAUUGGCUAGGCCAGGGGAUCCCUGGGUGGCUCAGCGGUUUGGCGCCUGCUUUUGGCCCAGGGCGCGAUCCUGGAGUCCCGGGAUCGAGUCCCACGUCGGGCUCCCUGCAUAGAGCCUGCUUCUCCCUCUGCCUGUGUCUCUGCGUCUCUCUUUCUCUGUGUCUAUCAUAAAUGAAUAAAUAAAUAAAUCUUUUUAAAAAAUUGGCUAGGCCAUGGUACCCUAGUUUUUUGUCAAGCACCCAUCUAGAUGUUGUUAUGGAAGUAAUCUUCAGGUGUGAUUCGUGUUUAAAUCAAUAGACUUUGAGUAGAGCAGGAUACUCUCUGUAAUAAGUCCCAUCCAAUGAGUUGAAGGCCAUAAAAGAAAGAGUGAAGUCUUGGAGGAAGAAGGAAUUCUGCUAGUGGGUUGCCUUGAGACGUGAGACUGUAGCAUCAACGGAAUCCCAGGGUCUCCAGCCUGCCAGUCUAUCCCACAGAUUUCAGACUUCCACACCCA